ACCGCGUGCGUGUUCGUUAAUUCUUUUACUCCAUAAUAAAUUAUUAAAUUAAAAUGAAAUCUUUUUUACGAGUUUUUUUUUAUUAGUUAUUGGAUAAUAGAGUAUGAAAACUAUGACAAACGUCACGGUUACCAUGACCACAAUUACUCCAACUAUAAGAACAAAGACGCAGGUGUUGCCAUGGAAACGCACCUACAACAAAGGAUCAGUUCCUUGUGGACACCGUCCGUGAAGGAUUGAUCUACACUUGGACGUGCUUUUCAAAAUAAAA